rfam:Dipodomys ordii contig_60697, whole genome shotgun sequence.
GGGAAGGUAGCUCAGUGGUAGAGAGCUUGCCUUGCAUGCAUGAGGCCCUGGGUUCGAUUCCUCAGCACCA